GAGUUGGUCCUGAGGAAUUAAUUGGUCCUGGCUAGACCCAAUCCUGCCUUAGCCAAGAGAGGGAUGACCAACACCCAUGGGAAGGAAUUUGGAGGAGGGGCCAGGUUUGGGGGCAUCGCUAACCACCUCUUUUCAUCCAGGAAACUCCCAGUCCAGAGCAGUUGCCGUUGGACAGGAAGAGGGCUGCAGGCGUUGGGGUGGGGCAGGGGAGGAGGAUUGCAGACACCUGGGCUUUCGCUCUGACCUGGCUCUCACACUGCCUUCUCACACACUGCCUAGAUGCUGCUCUCACAGCCCUGACUGCUGCUGCCUGGAACCUUCUGUCUCCACUGCAGGUUGCCCUGCCCUCAUGUUUACAUCACGAACGUCCAUCAUAGGUAAUGGUCCAGCCCCAGGCCAGGGAUGUGCUCAGCUGACAACCUGCAGAGCAACCCUCCAAGGCCAUCUGCAGAAGCUGAUGGAAGAGAGGAUAUGGGACUGAAGGUCAAGAGUGGAAGAUGACUGGCCUGAGAAGGUAAAGGAUGGACUCGCAUUAACUGAGAUGGGGAAGACUGGAUGAAACAGAUUGGGAAGAAGAAGACCAGAAUUUCCAUUCUGGACACUAUCAGAUUAACAGGUCCCUGGACGUCCAGAUGGAUUGUGAGAGAGGAAGCUCCCUGACUUGCCACCAUCCAGAGAGCACUGGUACUAUAGGAGUCAAAGGCAGAGGCCUGGAACUUUAUUUAAAAUUAUUCGGAGACCACGGAUUCACUCUCUUCCCAGGAUAAUGCUGAUGCCUAGUUACAUAAAACACUGUGUCCAACUCCAGGGGCUCAUGAAACACUCUGUGUUGUGUCUAUGGAUCGUUCUAACAUUUGGGGAGUCUGUGACAACUUUCCUAACGGCCCCUUCCAGCCCCACUCUGACCUUUCUGCCCCCACCCCAACAUGUGCCUGCGGCAGUGGAGGGAAGACUAGCUCCCACUCAAGCCUUCGGCUCAUCUGCGCUGUUCUGUGCACGUCGGUUCCUUCUUUGCACAGGGACUCAGGAGGGGGCUGAAGCUAUUCUCUGUAUGAUCCACACCUGGUGCAGAGCCUGCCUUCACGAGUUUCACAACUGAAACGUCUUUGUGAUUGAUUGUUGACCACAUAAUGGCCUCUCCGUGAGCAAAAGAAGGAAACGUCUACUUGGGCAGCAGGGAGAACAAUGGGUACAUUAACGAGCCUCAGAAAGGUUUGUGUGCAUUUGGGAACAAUGUUUAUUCAUAAUUUUAUAAGCCACUGUGUUGCCCACAGAUUUCAGUGCAUUUAUUGAGAUUAGAUCUGAGCAAUGAUAAAUAAGAUGUGAGAAUUAGACCCGUGAGAAGGACAGCAGGGCUUCCUUGUACUAGGCUUCUGCCCCAAGGACAGCCUAGUUCAGGCCUCCUUCCAGGC